UCUGUUGUUGUCAUGUUUCAAUUCAUUUUUAACAUUUUAUUUAUUUCGUACUGUUAACUGAUGUUUUAAUAAUUACUGUGGAGAAAGAUAGGAAAUAACAUAGAAAAAAAAUAAGUAUAAUAAAGUGUCUCGCCGAAACUACCCUAUAUACCUAGGUAUAUCGAAUGAGAAAAAAGACAAAAUGGACUAUCUGAGCGUCAUACACUAUUGUCUCUACAUAAAUUGCGCUAUAUUUACCUAAUUACCAACCAAAGUAUUUUAACCUCCUAAAUUCUUCGUUUAAUGUGCUUUCCUUUUCUACUCCUUGCAAGCAACGAAUAUUUCGGUCACUCAUAUGCGUGAAGUACAGUCAGCCACAAAAGUAGCUGAACCAAUUCAAAACUUCAAAAUCUUAUACACAUUACCUUCAAUACUUUUGUCUGUAUCUAAAUUAAAAUAAAAUCGUAACUUUAUUAUAGUGAAGAAAAAUCGAUUGAUAAGGACAUAAACGUUUAUAAAAACAGGGCGGUCGUAUCGUUUACCAUCAGUCAAACGGCAAACUCGUCUUGUCAUGUCAGUCAGUGAGGUCAAGAAGAAUUUGGAAUCCAACCUUCUAGAUCGAGUUACGAUAAAGAAGCUGGCGACCUCGUACGAAGGUCUACGAAAAAUGCUUCGAGGAACUUCAGAUACAGAACAUGAGGUGGUAAUAGGGGCUGCAGCUAUAUUGUAAAGUAAACUCUUCGUGCCGCAUCAAUCUGGUGUAAUAUUGAGGUUUAUUAUUAUAUUAAAAAAAAUAUAUCAUUAUCCGUUAUAUUGGAUAUCCAAAGUGGGUUUGUAGUAUGAACCUACCAGUUACUUUAAUACAACGAGAGCGAAAUAGAUUUUAGUUAAUAUUUUAUAGCAAUAUUCCAAAAAGAAACAAGAUUAUGACGCAAUAAAUAACUAAGAAAAUUAAA